rnacentral:rRNA from 1 species
ACGGGUGGCGGACGGGUGAGUAAUGUCUAGGGAAACUGCCGAUGGAGGGGGAUAACUACUGGAAACGGUAGCUAAUACCGCAUAACGUCGCAAGACCAAAGAGGGGGACCUUCGGGCCUCUUGCCAUCGGAUGUGCCCAGAUGGGAUUAGCUAGUAGGUGGGGUAACGGCUCACCUAGGCGACGAUCCCUAGCUGGUCUGAGAGGAUGACCAGCCACACUGGAACUGAGACACGGUCCAG